UACGUAGGGGGCAAGCGUUGUCCGGAUUUAUUGGGCGUAAAGCGCGUGUAGGCGGCUAGGUAGGUCCGCUGUGAAAACUUGAGGCUCAACCUCAAGAGGUCGGUGGAAACCAUCUAGCUAGAGUCCGGAAGAGGAGAAUGGAAUUCCUGGUGUAGCGGUGAAAUGCGCAGAUAUCAGGAAGAACACCCGUGGCGAAGGCGGUCUCUGGGCGUACUGACGCUGAGAGCGAGAAGCGUGGGGAGCGAACAGG
rnacentral:rRNA from 1 species